ensembl:misc_RNA Metazoa_SRP Metazoan signal recognition particle RNA
GCUGGGUGUGGUGGUGGGCACCUGUAAUCCCAGCUACUUGGGAGGCUGAGGCAGGAGAAUCGCUUGAACUCGGGAGAAUGAGGUUGCAGUGAGCCGAGAUCGUGCCACUGCACUUCAGCCUGGGUGACAGAGCAAGACUCUGUCUCAA